GGUGGGACUAAGACAUGCGAGUCGAGCGUCCCUAGCUAUGUUGAGACGCGGCAGACGGCUCAGUAACACGUGGCUAACCUACCUUCAGGACGAGGAUAAACCCGGGAAACUGGGGCUAAUACUCGAUAGGUGAGGAUGUCUGGAAUGACUUCUCAUCCAAAGGGCAUUGGAAACAUGCUUUCAAUGUCGCCUGGGGAUGGGGCCGCGUCCGAUCAGGUUGUUGGUGAGGUAACGGCUCACCAAGCCUAUAACCGGUACGGGCCGUGAGAGCGGUAGCCCGGAGAUGGGUACUGAGACAAGGACCCAGGCCCCACGGGGCGCAGCAGUCGCGAAAACUCCGCAAUGCACGAAAGUGUGACGGGGCUACCCCGAGUGCCAUCCGCUGAGGGUGGCUUUUCUUUGGUAUAACUAGCCAUGGGAAUAAGGAGAGGGCAAGACUGGUGUCAGCCGCCGCGGUAAUACCAGCUCUCCGAGUGGUAGGGAUGAUUAUUGGGCUUAAAGCGUCCGUAGCCGGCUUAGCAAGUCUCCUGUUAAAUUCAGCGACCUAAUCGUUGACCCGCGGGAGAUACUACUAGGCUAGGAGGCGGGAGAGGUCGACGGUACUUCUGGGGUAGGGGUGAAAUCCUAUAAUCCCGGGAGGACCACCAGUGGCGAAGGCUGUCGACUAGAACGCGCUCGACGGUGAGGGACGAAAGCUGGGGGAGCGAACCGGAUUAGAUACCCGGGUAGUCCCAGCCGUAAACGAUGCGAGCUAGGUGUUGGAAUGGCUACGUGCCAUUUCAGUGCCGCAGGGAAGCCAUUAAGCUCGCCGCCUGGGGAGUACGGCCGCAAGGCUGAAACUUAAAGGAAUUGGCGGGGGAGCACCACAAGGCGUGAAGCUUGCGGUUCAAUUGGAGUCAACGCC
rnacentral:rRNA from 1 species